UAUUAUCGUUUCUUCUUUUUUGUGCAUGGUAUAUUCUCGUUUCUAAUUUCGCCGAAAUCGUCUCUUUCAAUGGCAGCAUCGACUACGUUUUUCAAAAAGAAACAGACAUUGUAUGGUGGAUUUGUUGAAAAUUAUUAUGCUUUUUGUUAAUUUAUUGCAGGAUAUUAUGUUUUUGUUCAGAACUAUACAGCUAAUGAAACAAGAAAGAGCUUUGUUUUAUUCACGAAAAACAGAGUAAAUCUGUUUUAUACACAAAAACAAAGCUCCCAGAUAUAAGCAUACAAGCAAACCAACACAAACACGAAUCAAAAUAACCACAACGUAUUCAUGAGUUAAACAAUUGAACAUAUAUAACUUUGAUAAAAAAAAAAUGCUUGUACAGAAACACCAAACACGAUCUAACAUCAAAGCACCACCUCCGAACGACUUA
rnacentral:lncRNA from 1 species